GAUUCCCCUAGUAACUGCGAGUGAAGCGGGAAAAGCUCAAAUUUGAAAUCUGGCAGUCUAUUUUUUCUUCUUUGGCUGUCCGAGUUGUAAUCUAGAGAAGUGCUUACCUGCACUGGACCAUGUAUAAGUCUCCUGGAAUGGAGCGUCGCAGAGGGUGAGAAUCCCGUCUUUGACAUGGACUGCCAGUGUGUUGUGGUGUGCUCUCAAAGAGUCGAGUUGUUUGGGAAUGCAGCUCUAAAUGGGUGGUAAACUCCAUCUAAAGCUAAAUAUUGGCGAGAGACCGAUAGCGAACAAGUACCGUGAGGGAAAGAUGAAAAGGACUUUGGAAAGAGAGUUAAACAGUAUGUGAAAUUGUUGAAAGGGAAACGCUUGAAGUCAGUUAUGUUGGCUAGGGAUCAACCUAGCUGUCUUUUGCUGGGUGAAUUUCCUAGUCUGACAGGCCAACAUCAGUCUUGACCGCUGGAAAAGAGCAGAGGGAAUGUGGCACCUUCGGGUGUGUUAUAGCCCUUUGUCAUAUGUGGCGGUUGGGACUGAGGGAUGCAGCGUGCCGCGAGGCUGGGUUUCGACCACGUUCACGCUUAGGAUGUUGGCUUUUAAUGGCUUCAAUCGACCCGUCUUGAAACACGGACCAAGGAGUCUAACAUGCCUGCAAGUGUUUGGGUGGAAAACCCUUGCGCACAAUGAAAGUGAAAGUUGAGAUCCCUGUCAUGGGGAGCAUCGACGCCCGGACUUGAGCUUUUAGCGACGGAUCCGCGGUAGAGCAUGCAUGUUGGGACCCGAAAGAUGGUGAACUAUGCCUGAAUAGGGCAAAGCCAGAGGAAACUCUGGUGGAGGCUCGUAGCGAUUCUGACGUGCAAAUCGAUCGUCAAAUUUGGGUAUAG
rnacentral:rRNA from 1 species